rnacentral:lncRNA from 1 species
CAGAUAUGUAAGAGCUACAGUUUCAACAACUAUGACCUUUAAGAGUUAUAUACAUACAUACAUACAUACAUAUCAGUACAGAUAUUUAAGAGCUACAGUUUCAACAACUAUGACCUUUAGGAGUUACAUACAUACAUAUAUGUAUGUAUGUAUGUAUGUAUGUAUGUAUGUAUGUAUGUAUGUAUGUAUAUGCUCAUUCCGAUCAAUGAAAAGGUUACCAUGAGUUCAUCAAUUUCAAUACAUGUUAUGGUAUCAAGCAUCUUUAAGAGAUGGUCAAUCCUUUUUUUUCCAGUAGCCAGGUUCAUCAACUUAACUCCUACCACCAUUCGAAACACCAAUGACCCUCAAAAUACCCUCAUCACAUUAAUGUCACUGCGCAAAGUCCUUUCAAGCUCACCUUUAGCAACUACAUUUCCUUGAAGUUGUAAUUCAACACCUUAUUCAUUGGCCAUGAUCUCCUAGGCUAUAUUGAUGGAUCCAAACCACGUCCGUUAGCCACACUCACCCAAAGCAACACCACAAUACCCAAUCCUGAAUAUAUCAUCUGGAUUUGACAAGACCAAUUAGUCCUUAAUGCCAUCAUUGGCUUCCUCUCUCCAACAAUAAUUCCAUUUAUUGCUCUAGCCAAAACUUCUUGUCAAGCAUGGAACAUCUUAGGCAACACAUAUGCUAAGCCAACUCGUGGAUGCAUUAAACAAGUUAAAAGUUAAUAAAGAAAUUUAUAAAGGGGCCUGAAAAGUGUGACUGAAUUUUUGCAAGCAAUGAACUUGCACUUCUCGGAGGACCAUUUGAAGCAGAGGACCUUACAAAGAAUAUGUUGGAUAAACUUAGUGAUGACUACAAAGAACUUGAUUGUGCUGUCCAGGCCAG